CCCUGAGUAGGAAAGAUUCCCUGGAGGAGGGCAUGGCAACCCACUCCAGUAUUCUUGCCUGGAGAAUCCCAUGGACAGGUGUGGUGAAGGUCUCAGAUAAAGAAGCAAAGUUGGAUUGAAUGGUUAAAAGCCUUUGGCUGGAGUCAGGUAGAACUGGUUUGAAAAUCUUCACUGCUAUCACUCACUGACCUUAAAUGUUUGGACUGUUCAAAGUACGUGACAUGAAUUCACUUCGAUUUUCACAGUGUAUAUGCCUGUGCUGCUAUGAGAUUCUUCGGGGUGCUAUGGAGACUGCCAUCAAUAUUGAGAACCCUGGUCCAGUGGAACCUAAUCUACGGACAUAGGACUCCAGCACAUGGCAGUUGAGAGCAUCUGCAUGAAGUCAUUUGGGCCCAAAUCUGGGCCCAGAACAGCCCAUCUCUCACUAGCAAUUGGACUUUAGGGGGAAAAAAAAAAUCAUAAAAUGUGUUUGAGCCUUGGUUUAGAGACUUCAUCUGUGAAAUGGAGCAGAGCAGUAACUACUAUCACAUGUGAUUUUUAGAUUCUUUUGAACAUUUUUAUAUUACUAAUAUUUUGGGGGGGGGGCUUGAUGUGUGUAUUUGAUCCAGACCCAUCCUCCUUUCUUGCUACCUUUGCCUCUUGGCCCCCAGACUCAUUGUACCUCAGCCCCACUGCCGUUCUUUUUCGUGCCUUAAAUAAACCAAACUCAUUUCCACUUGA